GGUAAGCCCACGGUCCUGGGGUCUGGGUGUUGUCCAGGGGUCCUGGGGGUAAGCCCACAGUCCUGGGGUCUAGGUGUUGUCCAGGGGUCCUGGGUCUAGGUGCUGUCCAGGGGUCCUGGGUGUCAGCUCUGCGUGCUUGGUGUUAGCCCGGGGUCUGGAUUCCAUGAGGUCACUCCUAGACGUGGGGUGUCAUCCCAGGGUCCCGGGGCGCCCCACUCACAGGGUCAGCCCAGCCCAGCCCAGGGGUCAGCUCCCUGCUCCCCACCCCCC